AUGCGGCGACGUGGGCGGUUCGCUGCCCGCGACGUUGUGAGAAGUCCACUGAACCUUAUCAUUUAGAGGAAGGAGAAGUCGUAACAAGGUUUCCGUAGGUGAACCUGCGGAAGGAUCAUUGUCGAUGCCUCAAUCAAUUUGACCUGUGAAUUUGUUUAGACACGCGGCGUUGGCUUCAGGUCAAAGGCCUGAGCCUCGCCUCGGUAAAGAGGGAGUCAGGCUUCGCAUGACUUCAUCCUUGCCAAAACCYAAACCCCGGCGCAUCGUGCGCCAAGGAAAAUGAAAUUGUUAAUGAUGCGCUCCUGGACCCGGAGACGGUGUUCCUGUGAGUGCCGUCGUGACACAUUACACAAAAUGACUCUCGGCAACGGAUAUCUCGGCUCUUGCAUCGAUGAAGAACGUAGCGAAAUGCGAUACUUGGUGUGAAUUGCAGAAUCCCGUGAACCAUCGAGUCUUUGAACGCAAGUUGCGCCCGAAGCCAUUAGGUUGAGGGCACGCCUGCCUGGGUGUCACAAAUCGUUGCCCAAAGCCAACGCCUGACCAAAUAAGGUGUUGACGGGGCGAAUGUUGACCUCCCGCAAGCACUGCCCUGUGGUUGGUUGAAAAAUGAGUCCUCCAUGGAGAGCCCCAUGAUAAAUGGUGGUUGAGUAACACUCGAGACCAAUCAUGUGUGGCCUUUCCUCGAGCACGACUCACGUGACCCUUGCGUUCUUUCGAACGCUCAUAACGAGACCUCAGGUCAGACGGGGCUACCCGCUGAGUUUAAGCAUAUCAAUAAGCGGAGGAAAAGAAACUAACAAGGA
rnacentral:sRNA from 1 species